GACAGAGGGGGCAAGCGUUAAUCGGAAUUACUGGGCGUAAAGCGUGCGCAGGCGGUUAUGCAAGACAGAUGUGAAAUCCCCGGGCUCAACCUGGGAACUGCAUUUGUGACUGCAUGGCUGGAGUGCGGCAGAGGGGGAUGGAAUUCCGCGUGUAGCAGUGAAAUGCGUAGAUAUGCGGAGGAACACCGAUGGCGAAGGCAAUCCCCUGGGCCUGCACUGACGCUCAUGCACGAAAGCGUGGGGAGCAAACAGG
rnacentral:rRNA from 1 species